AAUGGAGGAAACUCUGACGCAGUGACGCCGCGUGCAGGAAGAAGGUUUUCGGAUUGUAAACUGCUUUAGACAGGGAAGAAACAAGACAGUACCUGUAGAAUAAGCUCCGGCUAACUACGUGCCAGCAGCCGCGGUAAUACGUAGGGAGCAAGCGUUAUCCGGAUUUAUUGGGUGUAAAGGGUGCGUAGACGGGAAAUUAAGUUAGUUGUGAAAUCCCUCGGCUUAACUGAGGAACUGCAACUAAAACUGGUUUUCUUGAGUGCUGGAGAGGAAAGUGGAAUUCCUAGUGUAGCGGUGAAAUGCGUAGAUAUUAGGAGGAACACCAGUGGCGAAGGCGACUUUCUGGACAGUAACUGACGUUGAGGCACGAAAGUGUGGGGAGCAAA
rnacentral:rRNA from 1 species